rnacentral:rRNA from 1 species
AAUCAACGCUGGCGGCGUGCCUCAGACAUGCAAGUCGAACGCGAAAGUUUCCUUCGGGAGACAAGUAGAGUGGCGCACGGGUGAGUAACACGUAGGUAAUCUACCUUUGGAUGGGGAAUAACAACCGGAAACGGUUGCUAAUACCGCAUAAUGCAGCGGCACCUAAUGGUGACAGUUGUUAAAGCGGGGGAUCGAAAGACCUCGCGUCUGAAGAGGAGCCUGCGGCGGAUUAGCAGUUGGUAAGGUAAUGGCUUACCAAGGCUACGAUCCGUAACCGGCCUGAGAGGGCGGUCGGUCACACUGACACUGACAUACGGGUCAGACUCCUACGGGAGGCAGCAGUCGGGAAUUUUGGGCAAUGGGCGAAAGCCUGACCCAGCAACGCCGCGUGAAGGAUGAAA